CCUACGGGGGGCAGCAGUCGCGAAAACUCCGCAAUGUGGGAAACCACGACGGGGGAACUCCCAGUGCGUGCACUUUGUGUACGCUGUUCUCGUGCCUAAAAAGCACGAGAAGUAAGGGCCGGGUAAGACGGGUGCCAGCCGCCGCGGUAAUACCCGCGGCCCGAGUGGUGCUCAUUAUUAUUGAGUCUAAAACGUCCGUAGCCGGUCGGGUAGAUUCCUGGGUAAAUCGAACCGCUCAACGGUUCGAAUUCCGGGGAGACCGUCCGACUUGGGACCGGGAGAGGCGCGAGGUACUCCUGGGGUAGGGGUAAAAUCCUGUAAUCCUGGGAGGACCACCAGUGGCGAAGGCGUCGCGCUAGAACGGAUCCGACGGUCAGGGACGAAGCCCAGGGGCGCAAACGGGAUUAGAUACCCCAGUAGUC
rnacentral:rRNA from 1 species